AGACUGGAUUGUCUUUUGGUCGAAAAAUGAUGACUGGAUAUCUACCCGCAAAAGGGGUUAAAGCUUCUGAAAGCAGAGUGGGCAAUGUGUUGAGAAGUAUUCAUCAACCCUACCACAUUGCAAGACAGCAGGGUGCCCGGAAUCUGAACCCCAUACCCUACAAUGCAGAAUACAUGGGUCACAAGCUGCAUGUAGAUCAGAAUGAGAAGCUUGUUAUGUUUGGAGUGACUCAUGUUAUGGCUAUCGAUGGUUUCAGCAAGAAGGUGGUCGGUCACUCCACCAUGCCAAUAAAGAACAACAUCGUGAUUUAUGAGGAAGUGAACCGGUAAAUUAACUUCACAGACUUUGUAAGGUGGAACCCAAAGUUGUCUCCUUAGGAGGACCCAGACUUGAACAAGUACAUUAAAAAAGGUUAAAACCUAGAUUUGUAAUAUGGAAAUAAUUAAUUUGGAAAAAACAAAACUUUUUCCCUCUUCCAGUUUCUUAGUUCAUUUUCCAGUUUUACUAUUAUUGAUAUCAUUCCAAUUUUGACCAAAAAAUGUAAUUGUCACUUUAGCUGGCCAUGGCUAAGAGACUGAUGCUGUUUAUGUAUAUUUUAUGUUUGUCGGUGAUUUAUCUUCAGGCCUGCUGUUCUUUCCUAUGGACUAUGGGACCAGGUCAGAGUUGACUGUGGGAAAGAAUUCUAUCUGGCUUUAUUCAUCCAGGAAAAACUGGCAGAACAUCGACACAAUACUCAAAGGCAGCCCUACCUUCAGACACCUUCUACAAGGAACCAUGUGAUAGAGAGAAUGUGGUCGGAGGUGAAUGCUCGAGUCAACUACCCUUUGAAGACAGCUCUGGUACAGCUGGUGGACCAGGAGGAACUGGACAUGGAGGACAACACAUCCAGGUAUUGUGUGUCAAACCUGACAUGCCAGCUGGCUAGGAUUGGCAUCACAAAUGUCAUACAGGCAUGGAAUGCACACAGGAUCCCAGGAAGGGGAAUACCAAACGAACUGGCUAAAGAAGGGUGUCCUGCAAAACUUUCUGAGGACCUUCUGCCAGUCGGUGCAGUUGCAGCUGACCUGUAUCAGCAGGAAAUGGGAUCAGCCUUGAAAAGAGAAUCCAUUUUUGGAAGUGAUCCUUUCCCCUCUGAAGAAGCCCAACAAUGGACUGAAACUGAGUUUGGUUCUCUCUUUGAUUUGCUAUCCCUCUACCAAAAUGUGGUUAACCAUAACUAUGGCCCUUUUAAAAAUGCAGUGAGGUCUCUGAUUGAUAUCACCUCAAGACAUGUGCGACCUGUUACACAGUGACCUGCAAUGGUCAAUGAAGAAGCAGUAUACCAAAAAUAACAUUUUAUUACAACAAUGAUAAAGUGGAAGUUGUCUUUUUUUUCUUCUUUUUUUAUUAUUUUUUUUAAACGGUCACACACAAUAUAAACAUUACAACAAACAACAUCUUUCUGGUCAUGUACCCAUAAUAACAUCCAACAAACAAACUGAGGUAGUUCCAGUAAUGUAAACAUAACAAACAAUAACAAACAAUUAUCUAUCCAAUUAUUCUCUCCUUGAAAAGUGACAAGGCAGCAGAGAGACCCUUCACUUCAUGUAUUUUAUUUUCAAAGUCUCCUGCCCUGCAUUUCAAGCAGUGGUCUGAUGUGACUAACCACAGCUCCACACAGGUACGACAUCCAAUUAUCGAUUUACAGCAUGUGGCGAACAUGGGAUCUGCCAUUACAGCUGCAAGGUUAAAAAAAGAUAUAUUAUAAAUUGAUGCAGAAAAUAACAUUUAAUUGUUAGUUGCAAUAUAGAAGGAAAUUAACUGUAAGCAAUCAGAAGUGUGUUUUAUCGCCGAGUGAAUGUUGAAGAUGGCGAUGAACACCCGUGACAGCUGGUCAGCGCAGUGCUUGAGGGUGGCAGGCGGCUAUGUUUUGUACUGUAGAAUGACCUACUGUUACAUAUCUUACACGUACCUUUACACACAAGACAUGCAAAGGCUUCCUUUAAGGGCUGCAAACCGACAUUUGCCAUGAUCUCCUCCUUUUGAGACUUGGCCAGCUGAGACAGCUGGAUGAUUGAAUUAGUGACCUCUUGGAGACUCCCGGCGGCUUGCUUCAGCUGGUCAACACGUCCAAGGACCUCCUGCAGGCUUGAAUCUCCAUCCCUUCGACUUAAAUGUAUGAACAGAAAAGAAAGGAUUAAAGAUUUUUUUCAAAUGGUGCAUAUGAACAAAUGUUUGAAUAUCUUUCUGAAUAUUUUAUAAAUCUUUAUUUUACUCUGUAAAAGCGUCAACCUAUGAGACAUUGUUGUCAUAUAAUUGAAUCAUAAUGACUUCAUUCAUGAUCAUCACUCAAAAAAGCAGACCAAAUUAAGUUCAAAUAAUAAUUAUUCUUCCACUCUACUUUCUUUUCUUUUUCCUUUCUUAACUUUUGCAUUACACUGGUAUUUCCUUCAGGAAGUUUUAGUUCAUAUAUGAAUUUGCCUACAGAUCAAAUGUUGUAUUACCUUGUUUUAGCU